rnacentral:lncRNA from 1 species
GCUGAAGGUUUUCUGCAAAGCUGCCGUCGACCAAGGACCGACGCAGUAUCCUUUCGACCUCUAUAAUAUGAGCGUUUGCCGACUCACAGCUGCCAAACUCUAGAUCAAGCAACCGCUUCAUUAUCCUUAGGGAAUGAAUGACGAUGACGUGAAGUCUGUGGAGGAACCUCGAUGAUGCAGGCCCCGAGCCAUACUUGAAGCUGCACAGCUCUCAAUUGGUAUAUGCUCCCUCGAAAACCCAGAGAUGAAUUUUCUUCAGUUCUAUUAUUUGGGGAACUACCCCUACUCAGUAUGUGCGUCAUCGUGACUAUAGUUACACGGCCCAGGGUCAACUUUUGGGAUGGGAAAAUUGCUGUAACUGGUAGCAGAGUUUCCACAGCCACUUCACAAGGAUAAGUAUUUAUAGAUAAGGAAAUGUGGGCUUUUGCAUGUUAGAUAUCCUUUCACUUUUGUUGUCCCUUGAACAAGACGAUUUCCUUGGUGUCACUAUACUGACUUAAAGGGAUGUUGUUGAAUGGGCGGGGGGGUCCACUUUUAUCAACCGGAAUAAGCCAAAGGGCAGUUUUACUUCAAACGGUUGACUAUUUUUUUCAAAUACUGUAUACUUCUAUUUUUCAAAAUGCUUUCAAAUUCAUCGAAGUAUAAUUUGAAAUCCCAACAAAUCCAGGGACUGAUCAUUUUUAGUGGACGCUGGACAAAUCGGGGCAUGUUCCAAUUUUGCGUGCAUACCUCCCUCCCUUUCUGCACUAUAAUUUAGUUUAAAUCGGACAACAUUACUCUUCGUGCAUCUUUUUUAUUUUUUCACGUUUUUUAGUUAAAAAUAUUGUGAAAGAAUAGAGAAUGAAUAAUGAUAGGCUCACUAUACUUAUGCCAUCAAUUAAAGCUAAGCAUUAUGUUGUUGAUUAAAUGCGGUCAAUCUAAACACACUUUACUUCCUAGCCUAAUCUAUAUCACGUGCACAGUGAAGCGCUAACAAAUGGGCUUCUGGGCUGGCUAGACAACGUUUCAAACAGCUGAGUAAAAUUAAAUGAAAACCUUUCCCAGAAUGAUGCACACGACAAAAAGAUACGAGAAAGGUUUCAGCAUUGCUGCUUCACUAACAGCGCAUGCAGGACCUCCCUGGACCGCCAAAGCGUGAAUGUAACCGGCCCCUAACCAUUUGUCAUAGGUGUUUUUAUUUCCAACACUGACUAGUUUCUUAGUGGAGUCCCUGAAAAGAAGAUUGCUCUUUUCUGGAACAUAUUUGCUGGAUUCAAAUAUCAGGAAUCCGGAACAGUUGCUAGCUGUCGUGUUAGGCUGACAGUACUUGGAUGCUGUGACUAAAAUGUUGACAAAAUCUUUGUUGUCAGAUGUGGUCCUGGUAACGACAGCAUUAGAAGGUCUGCGACCAUAGCUGCAAUCCUCGUACGCCUCUUGUGUUACAACUACAAUAACAAAAACUUUGAUGAAUAUAUCAUGAUCACAGAAACAUUUCAAGGUUCUUUGGUUUUCCUCCUCCAUAGAAAUCAUACUGGCACCGUAAUUGAGAACUGUUUGCAUAAAAUAUUUAUGCAGUGAUAGUGUGUGAGAGUUACAGGGACCAAAUUGAAAUCAGUCAAAUUUGCUUCCCACUAUAACAAAGUGAUUUAUUUUAUUAGUAAUGAUGGAAAG